rnacentral:misc_RNA from 1 species
AAGUCGUAACAAGGUUUCCGUAGGUGAACCUUCGGAAGGAUCAUUACCAUAACGCGGUCGCCCCGUGAUCCCCCCUUCUCCAAUUGCUGGGGGGUUAGGGCGGCCACACGCGUUCUUACCACCCUUGAUUUUGAGCACCUUCAUGUUUCCUCGGCAGGGACGCCUGCCAGCGAGGACCCCCAAAAAACUUCUUGCAGUUUGCAGUAUUUGUCUGAAAACAAACAUAAUAAUCAAAACUUUCAACAAUGGAUCUCUUGGUUCUG